GCCUGGGUGGCUCAGUCAGUUGAGCGUCUGACUUAGGCUCAGGUCAUGAUCUCGCGGUUUGUGAGUUCAAGCCCUGCCUCCGGCU
rnacentral:tRNA from 1 species